GGGCUUGUGGUACAGUGGUAGCACGUUCGCUUAGCACGUCAUUCGCACCGGAAGCGUCUUUGCGAAAGGUCCUGGGUUCAAUUCCCAGCAAGUCCA
rnacentral:tRNA from 2 species